GACGAACGCUGGCGGCGUGCUUAACACAUGCAAGUCGAACGGAAAGGCCUGCUUUCCCUUGUGGAUUGCGGGUACUCGAGUGGCGAACGGGUGAGUAACACGUGAGUGAUCUGCCCCCAACUUGGGUAUAAGCCUGGGAAACUGGGUCUAAUUCCCGAUAGGACUGCAGGGUGGUGCCUGUGGUGGAAAACGAUUUUCUAGUGGUUGGGGAUGAGCUCGCGGCCUAUCAGCUUGUUGGUGGGGUAAUGGCCUACCAAGGCGGCGACGGGUAGCCGGCCUGAGAGGGUGGACGGCCACAUUGGGACUGAGAUACGGCCCAGACUCCUACGGGAGGCAGCAGUGGGGAAUAUUGCACAAUGGGCGGAAGCCUGAUGCAGCGACGCCGCGUGGGGGAUGACGGCCUUCGGGUUGUAAACUCCUUUCGACCGCGAGGAAGCCACCUGGUUGGAAGAGUGGUGACGGUAGUGGUAGAAGAAGCACCGGCUAACUACGUG
rnacentral:rRNA from 1 species